UACGGAAGGGGGCUAGCGUUGCUCGGAAUCACUGGGCGUAAAGCGCACGUAGGCGGACUCUUAAGUCGGUGGUGAAAUCCUGGAGCUCAACUCCAGAACUGCCUUCGAUACUGGGAGUCUCGAGUCCGGGAGAGGUGAGUGGAACUGCGAGUGUAGAGGUGAAAUUCGUAGAUAUUCGCAAGAACACCAGUGGCGAAGGCGGCUCACUGGCCCGGUACUGACGCUGAGGUGCGAAAGCGUGGGGAGCAAACAGG
rnacentral:rRNA from 1 species